AAACCUAUGUUUCGUCGAUGUGGGAUUUCUCUUAAAGCAAACCAAACCAAAUCAAAAGUUGUUCUUCUCAAUUAGUGUAAAUGGUUUAACUCAAUCUCAGAUGCCAUCCAACUCCUCACUCCUCACCCUCAAUCGUAAGCUUGCUCACCUCACUCGUGCAAACCGUUACUCAGACGCCCUCCAAUUUUUUACCCAAUCUCAAUCUCAAUCUCCCAAACCAGAUCACUACACUAUCUCCACUCUCAUUACUGCCACUUCUAACCUUGCCCACAUCACUUUCGGCAACCAGCUCCACGCCUACGCCAUUCGAACAGGCCUUAAAGCCUUUCCUCAUGUAUCAAACACUUUGCUUUCUCUUUACGCCAAAGCACAAGACCUAAACUCUCUGAAUUGGGUUUUUUACGAGGUUCAGAACCCAGAUGUUUAUUCUUGGACCACGCUCUUGUCAGCCUAUACUAAGUUGGGUUGUGUUGAAUAUGCUUGCCACUUGUUCGAUAAAAUGCCUCUAUGUUGCAAUGUGGCCAUUUGGAAUGCAUUGAUUACUGCAGAGAUGAAUCUGGGUUCAUUCUUGAUGGAAUUCCUUGAACAAGAAUCCAAGCUGAGAUCCUUGAUCAACUUGCAGAUAUUGAUUUAGUUGUGAAUUUCAAGAGCACGGAAAAGCAUUUGGAGAAUAAUAUAGGAAAAUGUCAAAAAUACAUGGGAAAGAACAACAAUGCCAGUUAUAAAAAUCUAAACUUGUUCCCUCAGAAUGGACAACAAGUCCACUUCUACUGAUUCUGAAAUACCGUGGAAAGAGAAGUUCAUUAACUAUGCAAAACAAAGCCAGUCAUUGGAAGAAUACUACAAAACACAGAGGAAACUUGUUGAUAUUCAAGUAAGUGAUGCACUUGGAGAAACUUGGCAAGGUUUAUUGGCUGCUUUACAUCUCCAGCAUACAAAUGCUGCAAAUGUAUUUAUGCUUCUUUUUCUUCUUAAUUUAUUAUUGUUAAUGGUAGAUUUGCAUAUCUAACUGCUAAGUUGUCCAGGUUUGAGAUCUUUCUUAUUGAACAGAUUGUUAUAUAAUUAUUGGAAAUUAUCGAUUUGGAAAGCCUAUCAACAUAUAAGAGUUUGUGAAUCCAACCAGCAACAAGAUUAUAAUAAAGUAAUCGGCUUGAAGCUUGGACCACCAUUAGUUCAGAAGGAGGAAACUCGUAGUGUGGCGGCAGGUUCUGUUUGCCAAUACCAAGUCCCUUCGGUUCAAUCUCAUCACAGGCGAAUGCUAGAAUAGGCAAUCUUAUUUAAUUGUGGCAUGGCAUACAAUCUCAACUUUACUAUUAGUUCGGAAUUUUAAAAUUUUGCCCUGUUGUUUUCAAAUAUUUUAGUCAAUUUUUUUUUUCAGUCAUGUAAGCAUUAUGAUUAUUUCUUUUUCUUAGAGAUAUUGCAAAAUGGGAUGUCCCAGUUGAGUUUAAUCACUUGAACAACUGCACCACAGAAACCACAAAUAUUUAAAAUGGGUUACUUUCUUAUAUUCCCACA